GGAUGAAUCUGUUGAUAUGUUCAAUCUGGCUUGCCCUGUACUGGACGGAAAGAAAACUGAUGGUUGGACAAUUCUAUUCUAACUCCUGAAGGCUAGAAGCAUGAAAAAGAAAAGGAGGCAAAUGCAAGUGUUUGGAUACGUUUUAGAAAAGCAAUAUGGAACGAAGUGGAGUUUCUGAGAAGUGAUGACAGUAUUGUUUUAAAGUCAAGAUCAAAGUGACUCAUACCUGCUGUGAGAGAUUGCACUGUGUCUCUUCAAAGGACAAAUUCUGCUAGGUUGAAAGGCUGAAGAUGCCGGUUUCUGCUGUCCCGGAAGGAUGGCAGCACCAACAAUCAUUAUGGAAUAGAUGGAUUCAUCAGCAAGAAGCAAAGGCAGGCUUUCAUUCUGGAGUCUAGUCUCACACAGAAUUCACUCUGUAGCCAGGGAUGGCCAUGAACAUCAACCAUUUUGACACAGCCUACUGAAUGCUGGGAUUAAAGAUGCAAACAAAUGAACAUCAUAGUGACAAGAAAGACUUCUAUGGGUCCGGGGCGAUGACUCAGCAGAGCAUAAGAUUGGGGGCUUGGUCAAGACUUUGAAGGAAGGACGAAAUUGCUUUUGGUGUCUUCAGUUUGGGAGAAAUUUGACAGG